CAGCCGCCACGGUAAUACGGAGGGUGCGAGCGUUAAUCGGAAUUACUGGGCGUAAAGCGUACGCAGGUGGUUUGUUAAGUUGGAUGUGAAAUCCCCGGGCUCAACCUGGGAACUGCAUCCAAAACUGGCAGGCUAGAGUAGGGCAGAGGGUGGUGGAAUUUCCUGUGUAGCGGUGAAAUGCGUAGAUAUAGGAAGGAACAUCAGUGGCGAAGGCGGCCAUCUGGGACAACACUGACGCUGAGGCACGAAAGCGUGGGGAGCAAACAGGAUUAGAGACCCGCGUAGUCCCUGUCUCUUAUAC
rnacentral:rRNA from 1 species